ACAGUACAAACUGAGCAGGCGAUGCCCGAGAUGUUCGAGGGCAUGGGGCCGGGCCGCGCGAAGCGGCAGCAGAUAUGAAAAUUUUCAGACAUAUCUGUGGGACAGUG
rfam:Ruminococcus sp. 37_24 Ley3_66761_scaffold_12571, whole genome shotgun sequence.